GGGGACGUAAAGGUUUCGACUGGAGUUUUGAACGAGGGUAAGCGAGCGGAAGCGCAUAACUUCCUUAAAAUGUGCAAUUUUAAAAUUAAACGCAAGAUCUAACAACGAUCUCGUAGCUGCCUAACCGCGGCUACCGUCAUACCCGGGAGUACCGCGGCCCGGGAUAUGGCGUCACUGAGCGGUGAACGUGCACGGGAGAGCGCCUCGUAUUCCGUCAUGCAUUUUGGGGCUACCUUUCUUAUCUGCGUGAGGGUCCGCGGAUAGGAUCGGGAAUGUAAUGAUCCUCUGCGCUCGGAGAAAACCUUCGGAAUGGGCUUUAGGACAGGGGUCCGAUUCCCCUCGUCUCCACCA
rnacentral:tmRNA from 1 species